rnacentral:rRNA from 1 species
GCUCAGAUUGAACGCUGGCGGCAUGCCUUACACAUGCAAGUCGAACGGCAGCACGGGAGCAAUCCUGGUGGCGAGUGGCGAACGGGUGAGUAAUAUAUCGGAACGUGCCCAGUCGUGGGGGAUAACGCAGCGAAAGCUGUGCUAAUACCGCAUACGAUCUCUGGAUGAAAGCGGGGGACUCGCAAGGGCCUCGCGCGAUUGGAGCGGCCGAUAUCAGAUUAGCUAGUUGGUGGGGUAAAAGCCCACCAAGGCGACGAUCUGUAGCUGGUCUGAGAGGACGACCAGCCACACUGGAACUGAGACACGGUCCAGACUCCUACGGGAGGCAGCAGUGUUUUUUUUUUUUCAAUGGGCGCAAGCCUGAUCCAACAAGGCCGCGUGCAGGAUGAAGGCCUUCGGGUU